rnacentral:lncRNA from 1 species
AUCCAGCUGUCUGUGACUCUCCUAAAUAUCACCGUACCCCGUGUUGUUAAGAGACACCCCACUCCCCGGGCUCCAUCUGCUCCCAAAUCCCUCCUUAGGGGAAAAGUGGGAGAAAUAAGAGCAUUUAAUCAUCUUGACCAUCCUGCUUUCCCAAGACUGCAAAUUCUGACCCAGUUUGGGGUGGGGGGGGCUUGUCUCUGGCUGCUCAGCCCCACUGGAUUCUUUCUCUACACACUCUCUCUCUCUUUCUCACUCACGCCCCCUGGGACACAGCCCGGCGGACCCAGGCUCUGCCCAGUUUCUGCAGGUUUCCGAAGCGCGGGACGACGGCUUCCCCACUCGGCCCUGAAAGUCACGCCGAGCCCCCAAAGGCCGUCCGGCCAGCGCUUUGCUCAAGUCCCUCAGGUCGGGCUGAAGAGCCUCAGUCCCCACGUCCGCACACGGGAAACCCGGUUUUCGGUCUGCAAAGAGCCGCUUCCGAGCCCCGGGCUGGGGCAGCUCCCGCCGUCCCCUCCCUUCCCCCCAGGACCCCCUCCCCCCCUCCCCCGCCCCCCGCCGGCGCGUCCCCUCCGCGGCGCCCCCCGCCCGCCCCGCGCGUCCCCUCCUCGGUCCCCCGGCCCGGCCCUACCUCCUGGCGGGCCGCGGCUCCGCGGGCUCCGGGGCGCAGCUCGGGGGCGCCCGGGCGGGCGGGGGCGGCGGGCGGCGGGGGCCCGGGGCGCCAUGGCCCCGCAGCCCUCCGCCCUGGUGUCGGCCGGGCCUCUCCCGGCGCCCGGCGAGCCGCGCGCCCUCCGCUCGCGUGCCCGCCGCCCGGCCGCCGCUGUGGGCGAGUGCAGGGCGGGCUCGGCCGGCUGCCGCGUCCUCUCCGCCGGGCCGCGCGCCCCGCCGCCGCCGCCCCCCGCCCGCCGCCGCCGCUCCAGUGAGCUCAUCCGCAGCUGGCGGGCGCCCGGCCCGUUGCCACGGCAACGCCUCUCCCAGGGCCGCGCGGACUCGAGCGGCUCCCGUAAACAGGACCUUCUGCCGGACUCUUCCCCUCGCCUUUUUUUGGGGGGUGGGGGGUGGGUAGGGCGACGGCGGCUUAACCCUUUCUUCGCUGGAGACCGGGCGGCGCGGUGUUCUCCGUCUCCGCCAGGCCCGGGAUCUAUUGGCGCGAGGCGCCCGGCGGCGGCCGAGACCCUGAGACACAGGCACGGAAGCGGCGGCGACAUUCCCUGCCCCCCCUGCCCGUUUCGCUCCGUCGCCAAACGCGUUUGUGGGGCACCUACUACGGGUCGGGCGCGGCGCUGGGGUCUGGGACGUCCCGGGCAGCGAGUCAGCCGCCUCGGUUGCCCCUUGCAGCUUGCAGUCUGGCUGGGGCACCGACAACCAGAACAGAGGCAAUAA